rnacentral:rRNA from 1 species
UACGUAGGGCGCAAGCGUUGCCCGGAAUUAUUGGGCGUAAAGAGCUCGUAGGCGGUUUGUCGCGUCUGCUGUGAAAACCUAAGGCUCAACCUUGGGCUUGCAGUGGGUACGGGCAGACUAGAGUGCGGUAGGGGUGACUGGAAUUCCUGGUGUAGCGGUGGAAUGCGCAGAUAUCAGGAGGAACACCGAUGGCGAAGGCAGGUCACUGGGCCGCAACUGACGCUGAGGAGCGAAAGCAUGGGGAGCGAACAGG